UACAGAGGGUGCAAGCGUUGUUCGGAAUUAUUGGGCGUAAAGGGAGUGUAGGCGGCUAUUUAAGUCUUCUGUGAAAGCUACGGGCUCAACCCGUUAAAGUGCAGAGGAUACUGGGUGGCUUGAGUGUCGGAGAGGAUAGUGGAAUUCCGCGUGUAGCAGUGAAAUGCGUAGAGAUGCGGAGGAACACCGAUGGCGAAGGCAGCCCCCUGGGCUGACACUGACGCUCAGGCACGAAAGCGUGGGGAGCAAACAGG
rnacentral:rRNA from 1 species